UCCUUAUGCAUAUUUCAUAUUUUUAAAAUGCAUUUACAGAAAUCAGAUUAAAGCCAACAUAAUAUCUGCAUUUUUUUUUUCCAGAAGAGGACAAGGAAAAGAAAUGGGUACAAAGAGGACAAAAGCUGUAUUUCUCACAUGCAAACAGGUUUUUCUGUGGAGAAGGACAUUCUAAUUCCCAAGAAGUCAAUUAACAAUGGACUCUCAAAGAUCUUCGCAAAAAGGCUCAGGGUAGCCCCACUAUCUGGUAAAGCUGUUUAACACCUACUGUAAAGACGUCUAGGGAAAUGGGAUACUAGCAACCAAGACAAGUUUGAGGACACGUAUUUGUCCGCAUCACCAUGGGCAGUUCCACUCUGCUUCCAGAGGAGGUUCCAUGCUCUUUCCUUCUAUGAAAGUACCUUUCUCUCUUGCUUCUCAUGAAUCUGGGGAGGUACACAUUCUUAGUGUACAAGAUCAGGUUUGACUUAUGUAUUCCCUUUGCUGUCUCAAACAAUAAACCAAAAAAAAAGUUUUGUUGAAAAAUUAUUUUCUCAAAUAAAA